GAAACGUGAAUAUCAUUAGCUUAAAAUGCCCAAGGACUCAUUCAGACACUCCAGUCUCAGAUUUUCUUCAAGUGUUUCUGGGAUUCUCUAAGCUUAUAUUACCCAGAUGCAUUCCUGACUGAGUACUGAUGAUUGCUUCCUUUUGCUGUUGCUGGUUAUCUGCAACUCGUCCAUCACCUCCAAUGUGCCAAGAUUCCAGGGCCAAGACUUGGUGAUAACCAAGCUGGAUAUCCAUCCUGCUAUUGCCUGGGAGAGGGAUUGGCCAGACUUGCUGCCUUCAGCUUCAGCUGAGCAGAGAGACUGUCGGUGCAAAUCCCUGCCAAUGGUUCUGGCCUCUGGUUCUUUCUCUCCUUGUGCCUUGAUGACUUAGCAGUUGGCUUCAAGUGGGAAAGGGAACCUCUCCCUCUCUUCAGCCAUGUUACUGGGGGCUCCAUAGCAAGACUGCUUGGGUCUCGAGUUUAAUGAGUGAGGGCAGCAUAUUCACGUUGCCAAGUCAGCUGGGUCAGGACAAGUUCACCGAUCAGCCACCAUGUCAUACUGACUUCCAGUCCUAUUACUGAAUUUGCCUUCUAAUAGUAAAUUUGAGAAAUUUCUUCUUUUAUUUUUGAUAAAUUACCUUUCAUUGGUCCUUUAUUCCUUAUUUAAAUG
rnacentral:lncRNA from 1 species